rnacentral:rRNA from 1 species
GGCGAACGGGUGAGUAACACGUGGGCAACCUGCCCAAAAGAGGGGGAUAACACUUGGAAACAGGUGCUAAUACCGCAUAACCAUAGUUACCGCAUGGUAACUAUGUAAAAGGUGGCUAUGCUACCGCUUUUGGAUGGGCCCGCGGCGCAUUAGCUAGUUGGUGGGGUAAAGGCUUACCAAGGCAAUGAUGCGUAGCCGAACUGAGAGGUUGAUCGGCCACAUUGGGACUGAGACACGGCCCAAACUCCUACGGGAGGCAGCAGUAGGGAAUCUUCCACAAUGGGCGAAAGCCUGAUGGAGCAACGCCGCGUGGGUGAAGAAGGUCUUCGGAUCGUAAAACCCUGUUGUUAGAGAAGAAAGUGCGUGAGAGUAACUGUUCACGUUUCGACGGUAUCUAACCAGAAAGCCACGGCUAACUACGUGCCAGCAGCCGCGGUAAUACGUAGGUGGCAAGCGUUAUCCGGAUUUAUUGGGCGUAAAGGGAACGCAGGCGGUCUUUUAAGUCUGAUGUGAAAGCCUUCGGCUUAACCGGAGUAGUGCAUUGGAAACUGGGAGACUUGAGUGCAGAAGAGGAGAGUGGAACUCCAUGUGUAGCGGUGAAAUGCGUANAUAUAUGGAAGAACACCAGUGGCGAAAGCGGCUCUCUGGUCUGUAACUGACGCUGAGGUUCGAAAGCGUGGGUAGCAAACAGGAUUAGAUACCCUGGUAGUCCACGCCGUAAACGAUGAAUGCUAAGUGUUGGAGGGUUUCCGCCCUU